rnacentral:misc_RNA from 1 species
ACACUCUCAAGCUUUGCUUGGUAUUGGAGGUCACCCUUUGUGGGGUGCCCCCGAAACAUAGCGGCGACGUAGCCGGACUCCCUGGCGUAGUGACAUAUCGCCGCCCCGGAGUCGUCGGUCUUGCGUUAGCCGGACAACGCCCCAUUUUCUUAA